GAUGAACGCUGGCGGCGUGCCUAAUACAUGCAAGUCGAGCGAACGGACGAGAAGUUUGCUUCUCUGAUGUUAGCGGCGGACGGGUGAGUAACACGUGGAUAACCUACCUAUAAGACUGGGAUAACUUCGGGAAACCGGAGCUAAUACCGGAUAAUCUUUUGAACCGCAUGGUUCAAAAGUGAAAGACGGUGUUGCUGUCGCUUAUCGAUGGAUCCGCGCUGCAUUAGCUAGUUGGUAAGGUAACGGCUUACCAAGGCAACGAGGCAUAGCCGACCUGUGAGAGUGAUCGGCCACACGAGAACUGAGACAGGGUCCAGACUCCUACGAGACGCAGCAGUAGGGAAUCUUCCGCAAUGGGCGAGAGCCUGACGGAGCAACGCCACGUGAGUGAUGAAGGUCUUCGGAGCGUAAAACUCUGUUAUUAGGGAAAAACAUAUGUGUAAGUAACUGUGCACAUCUUGACGGUACCUAGUCAGAAAGCCACGGCUAACUACGUG
rnacentral:rRNA from 1 species